UACGUAGGCAGCAAGCGUUGUUCGGAAUUACUGGGCGUAAAGAGUGUGUAGGCGGUUUCUAAGUUUGGUGUGAAAUCUCCCGGCUUAACUGGGAGGUGCGCCGAAAACUGGAAGGCUUGAGUGCCGGAGAGGAUAGCGGAAUUCCCGGUGUAGCGGUGAAAUGACGUAGAUAUCGGGAGGAACACCUGUGGUGUAGACGGCUAUCUGGACGGCGACUGACGCUGAGACACGAAAGCGUGGGUAGCAAACAGG
rnacentral:rRNA from 1 species